rnacentral:pre_miRNA from 1 species
CAACUACUCCCUCUGUCCCAAAUUUCUUGUCUUAGAUUUGUCUAGAUACGGAUGUAUCUAAUACUAAAAUGUGACUUGAUACAUCCGUAUNGACUUGAUACAUCCGUAUCUAGACAAAUCUAAGACAAGAAUUUUGGGACGGAGGGAGUACUUU